ensembl:lncRNA
GAAGCAUUUAAUCCCUUCUCUCUUUGAGACGGGAGAGCGGAUAGCGAGGAGGAUGCGCAGCCUUGCUUCACGCUGUUUUUAAGUUGACCCCAGUUCUGGAACUUGAAAGCCCAUGAUUCCAAAACACUUUCAUUAAGGAUGAACAUUCUUCAGAACUUCUAUUUUUGUGAAACAUUGUAAGUUCUGUUUUGGGGUUUUGUUUCAUGUUCUUAUUUUCAUGUCUUUUAUUUUGUAGUCUGAUUGCUGUUUGUGUCAACCUUCCCUUGCCCUCUUGUAUUCCUGCUAUUGGUUCCUCUGUUCAAUGUGUUAUGUUCUGAUUGGUUGUCUUAGUCAUGUGUCUUGUUUCCCAUUGGUUUGUUCAGGUCAUGUGACCCUCAUUGUCUGUAUAAGUAGCCAUGUCUUUGCCAUUGUCUCUUGUCAUGUAUUGAUGUUUUAACCUGCUGUCGGUGAGUCUAGUUUGUUAAUGCCACGUCAAUGCCAAGUCUCUGUUUGGAUGUUUGGAUUCCACCCUGUAAAUAAACUGAACUUGGGUUCUCACUACGCUCGCCUUCAGUGGACUCAUUACAGAAUACACAACCUCUACAAUGAACCCAGCAGUUUCACGGCUCCUCUGUCUUUGUCAGGGUGACAGGCCUAUAGAGGAUUAUGUGAGUGAUUUUUGUGAACUGUGUUAUCUGGUGGCUUUUAAUGACGUCGCGCUUAAGGACAUUUUUCGAGUGGGUUUAAAUGAACCCAUUCGUUCUCCUUUGCCUGGGGGAAAGAUUUGUUGGUCACUGGAGGAAUAUAUUGACCAUGCUCUUUUGCUGGCUGGUUCACAGUUUACUAUGGGUGUCAUGGAGGAGGACCACAGCAUUUUACCUAAGUCUCAUCAGGUUAUGCCUACUACAAUGAAGCAAUUUCACAUUCCAAUCAACAUGUUUGGGAUUAUUCAUGUCACGUCAAAGUCUACAGAGCCUGCUCACACCAUGCCUGCCAAGCCACAGCCUACUCACUUCAUGUCUACUAUGCCAAAGCCUGCUAACAUCAUGCCUGCUUUGCCAAAGCCUGCUAACGUCAGGCCCGCUACUCUAGGACCUGCUCACAUGCCAGUUAAGUCUAAGUUUACUCAUGUACUGUCUACCAAGUUAAAGCCUGAUCUCUUUCUGACUGCCAAGCCAGAAUCUGCUAACCUCAUAUCUGCUACCCCAGGGCCUGCUCACGUCUGAUCCUAUUCCAGAGCCUCGUCACGACAU